AGUGAGGAAUAUUGGUCAAUGGGCGCUAGCCUGAACCAGCCAAGUAGCGUGAAGGAUGAAGGCUCUAUGGGUCGUAAACUUCUUUUAUAUAAGAAUAAAGUGCAGUAUGUAUACUGUUUUGUAUGUAUUAUAUGAAUAAGGAUCGGCUAACUCCGUGCCAGCAGCCGCGGUAAUACGGAGGAUCCGAGCGUUAUCCGGAUUUAUUGGGUUUAAAGGGAGCGUAGGUGGACUGGUAAGUCAGUUGUGAAAGUUUGCGGCUCAACCGUAAAAUUGCAGUUGAUACUGUCAGUCUUGAGUACAGUAGAGGUGGGCGGAAUUCGUGGUGUAGCGGUGAAAUGCUUAGAUAUCACGAAGAACUCCGAUUGCGAAGGCAGCUCACUGGACUGCAACUGACACUGAUGCUCGAAAGUGUGGGUAUCAAA
rnacentral:rRNA from 1 species